UACGUAGGGGGCGAGCGUUGUCCGAAGUUACUGGGCGUAAAGCGCGCGUAGGCGGGCUCUUAAGUGAGGGGUGAAAGGUUCGGGCUCAACCCGAGCACUGCCUUUCAUACUGGGAGCCUUGAGUGCGGGAGAGGCGAGUGGAAUGGUCGGUGUAGCGGUGAAAUGCGUAGAUAUCGAUCGGAACACCCAUGGCGAAGGCAGCUCGCUGGCCUGCAACUGACGCUGAGGCGCGAAAGCGUGGGGAGCAAACAGG
rnacentral:rRNA from 1 species